GACGAACGCUGGCGGCGUGCUUAACACAUGCAAGUCGAGCGGUAAGGCCCUUUUGGGGGUACACGAGCGGCGAACGGGUGAGUAACACGUGGGUGACCUGCCCUCAGCUCUGGGAUAAGCCUGGGAAACUGGGUCUAAUACUGGAUAUGACCUUUCCUCGCAUGGGGUUGGGUGGAAAGUUUUUCGGCUGGGGAUGGGCCCGCGGCCUAUCAGCUUGUUGGUGGGGUGAUGGCCUACCAAGGCGACGACGGGUAGCCGGCCUGAGAGGGCGACCGGCCACACUGGGACUGAGACACGGCCCAGACUCCUACGGGAGGCAGCAGUGGGGAAUAUUGCGCAAUGGGCGGAAGCCUGACGCAGCGACGCCGCGUGGGGGUGACGGCCUUCUGGUUGUAAACCUCUUUCGACC
rnacentral:rRNA from 1 species